CAACCUGAGAGCGACAAAAACAAAGCAUGGAUUCUAGUGGUGAACAAUGAGGUGCGGCUCGUCAGGAAGGGCCGAAGGGCUCGGAGAUGCUUUUGCUCCUGCUACCGCAAGAUUCUGAUCCUCUAUGGGAGGCCGAGGUGCCGCAUCAAGGGCCAACAAUAGGACGCAUGUGGAGCCCAUGACAACCUUCAUGGGUACAUACAAGAAACUGAGUUACAUCAGUUUUAAGCGAACAACACAACAAACAAAUAAUUGAAAGCUUAUAGUAGGCAAGUAAGGUGUACACAAAAGGAACUGAAGUUGUGUUGAUAAAAUAACUUAAGACGCCCAAACAUAUGGAAAAGCAUUUAUAACUAACAACUCGUGUGCAUUCUUGUACAUUUGAUAGUUAACUUCAAAUAAUUUAUCAUUGCCGGAAAAGACACAAAUAAUCUCUAUUAAGAAAAGUGCAAAUCAAGAUAAGGACAUCAUGUAUGUGCGCUCCUGUGGUUCCACUUGUCAAAAC
rnacentral:lncRNA from 1 species